rnacentral:misc_RNA from 1 species
UACGAAGGGGGCUAGCGUUGUUCGGAAUUACUGGGCGUAAAGCGCACGUAGGCGGAUAUUUAAGUUAGGGGUGAAAUCCCAGGGCUCAACCCUGGAACUGCCUCUAAUACUGGGUAUCUAGAGUCCGAGAGAGGUGAGUGGAAUUCCGAGUGUAGAGGUGAAAUUCGUAGAUAUUAGGAAGAACACCAGUGGCGAAGGCGGCUUACAGGCUCGGAACUGACGCUGAGGUGCGAAAGCGUGGGUAGCAAACAGG